UACGUAGGGGGCAAGCGUUGUCCGGAUUUAUUGGGCGUAAAGAGCGUGUAGGCGGCCAAACAGGUCAGCUGUGAAAACUCGAGGCUCAACCUCGAGACGUCGGCGGAAACCAUCUGGCUAGAGUCCGGAAGAGGAGAGUGGAAUUCCUGGUGUAGCGGUGAAAUGCGCAGAUAUCAGGAAGAACACCCGUGGCGAAGGCGGCUCUCUGGGACGGUACUGACGCUGAGACGCGAAAGCGUGGGGAGCGAACAGG
rnacentral:rRNA from 1 species